AUGAAAAUUAACAAGGCGCAGGGUCAGACUAUCCCAAACAUUGUUAUUUACCUUCCCGAUCUAGUAUUCUCACAUGGUCAGCGAUAUGUUGCAUUGUCAAGGGGAGUGUCAAGAGAUACGACACAGAUUUUGGCCAAGCCAAACAAGGAGGUGAUAAAUUCGAAAAAACACAAAGAACAUUGUCUAAAGAGAUGUUUUGGGGAGAUGAGGCAGGUGCGUUAUUCCAAUAUUUAUUUGCACAUAAUACUAUGUCAAUUUAUCUUUAAAUACUCCGGGAUAUAA
rnacentral:rRNA from 1 species